CCUACGGGAGGCAGCAGUGGGGAAUUUUGGACAAUGGGGGAAACCCUGAUCCAGCCAUGCCGCGUGCGGGAAGAAGGCCUUCGGGUUGUAAACCGCUUUUGUCAGGGAAGAAACGGUCUGCGCUAAUACCGCGGACUAAUGACGGUACCUGAAGAAUAAGCACCGGCUAACUACGUGCCAGCAGCCGCGGUAAU
rnacentral:rRNA from 1 species